rnacentral:rRNA from 1 species
AGUGAACGCUGGCGGUAGGCCUAACACAUGCAAGUCGAACGGCCGCACAGUAAGAGCUUGCUCUUACGGGUGGCGAGUGGCGGACGGGUGAGGCAUACAUCGGAAUCUACUUUUUCGUGGGGGAUAACGUAGGGAAACUUACGCUACUACCGCAUACGUCCUACGGGUGAAAGCAGGGGUUCUUCGGACCUUGCGCGAUUGUAUGAGCCGAUGUCGGAUUAGCUAGUUGGCGGGGUAAAGGCCCACCAAGGCGACGAUCCGUAGCUGGUCUGAGAGGAUGAUCAGCCACACUGGAACUGAGACACGGUCCAGACUCCUACGGGAGGCAGCAGUGGGGAAUAUUGGACAAUGGGCGAAAGCCUGAUCCAGCCAUACCGCGUGAGUGAAGAAGGCCUUCGGGUUGUAAAGCUCUUUUGUUAGGAAAGAAAAGCAGCAGGUUAAUCCCCCGCUGUUCUGACGGUACCCAAAGAAUAAGCACCGGCUAACUUCGUG